AAUCAUUUGUUCUAUAAUUAGGGCAUCUAGUGCAUAAUAAAUGAUUCUGUGACUCUUACUGGAGACUAGCCGGGACAUAAUUUUCUUGAAGCCAAAUUCUUUGGCAGCUGUGAAACUUCUUGAUGCAUUUUUCUGGUUUGGAAGCUGACGUUAGUCCCAAAUAAAAACAAAUACCCACUCAGAUGCCAAAAACUAACCUAUCCUGCAUAAUCAUCGCUUGUAAUUUUGCCCACAACUUCAGUAGUUUGACGUAAAAGAUGUUCCAUUCUUUACCACUGAGUAAAGAAGUUAAAAAUGUUCCGUAAUUUCGAAUUCCUCUUUGUUCUAAGACUUUACUCUCACCUCCGGGUUCACAGCUAAGCUCCCCCAUGACUGAUACCGCUGAAAG
rnacentral:lncRNA from 1 species